GACGAACGCUGGCGGCGUGCUUAACACAUGCAAGUCGUACGGUAAGGCCCUUUCGGGGGUACACGAGUGGCGAACGGGUGAGUAACACGUGAGUAACCUGCCCACAACUUUGGGAUAACGCUAGGAAACUGGUGCUAAUACUGGAUAUGUGCUCCUGCUGCAUGGUGGGGGUUGGAAAGCUCCGGCGGUUGUGGAUGGACUCGCGGCCUAUCAGCUUGUUGGUGGGGUAGUGGCCUACCAAGGCGGCGACGGGUAGCCGGCCUGAGAGGGUGACCGGCCACAUUGGGACUGAGAUACGGCCCAGACUCCUACGGGAGGCAGCAGUGGGGAAUAUUGCACAAUGGGCGCAAGCCUGAUGCAGCAACGCCGCGUGCGGGAUGACGGCCUUCGGGUUGUAAACCGCUUUCAGCAGGGACGAAGCUUUUUGUGACGGUACCUGCAGAAGAAGCACCGGCUAACUAC
rnacentral:rRNA from 1 species